AUUGAACGCUGGCGGCAGGCUUAACACAUGCAAGCCGAGCGCCGUAGCAAUACGGAGCGGCAGACGGGUGAGUAACACGUGGGAACGUGCCUUUUGGUUCGGAAUAACUCAGGGAAACUUGAGCUAAUACCGGAUAAGCCCUUCGGGGGAAAGAUUUAUCGCCGAAAGAUCGGCCCGCGUAAGAUUAGCUUGUUGGUGAGGUAACGGCUCACCAAGGCUACGAUCUUUAGCUGGUCUGAGAGGAUGAUCAGCCACAUUGGGACUGAGACACGGCCCAAACUCCUACGGGAGGCAGCAGUGGGGAAUAUUGGACAAUGGGCGCAAGCCUGAUCCAGCCAUGCCGCGUGAGUGAUGAAGGCCUUAGGGUUGUAAAGCUCUUUUAGCAGGGACGAUAAUGACGAUACCUGCAGAAAAAGCCCCGGCCAACUUCGUGCCAGCCGCCGCCGUAAAAC
rnacentral:rRNA from 1 species